rnacentral:rRNA from 1 species
CAAUAGCGUAUAUUAAAGUUGUUGCAGUUAGAACGCUCGUAGUCGGAUUUCGGGGCGGGCCGACCGGUCUGCCGAUGGGUACGCACUGGUCGGCGCGUCCUUCCUUCCGGAGACCGUGCCUACUCUUAACUGAGCGGGGGCGGGAGACGGAUCGUUUACUUUGAAAAAAUCAGAGUGUUUCAAGCAGGCAGCUCGCUCUUGCAUGGAUUAGCAUGGGAUAAUGAAAUAGGACUUUGGUGCUAUUUUGUUGGUUUCGAACACCGAAGUAAUGAUUAAAAGGGACAGUCAGGGGCACCCGUAUUCCGCCGAGAGAGGUGAAAUUCUCAGACCAGCGGAAGACGAACUACUGCGAANGNAUUUGGNAGGGAUGUUUNCACUG